ensembl:miRNA
UAUCAGGUUGGUGCAAAAGUGAUUGUGGUUUUGCCAUUGUUUUCAGUGGCAAAAAUCGCCGUUACUUUUGCACCAAUCUAAUAAAU